GUGGGGAAUUUUGGACAAUGGGGGCAACCCUGAUCCAGCCAUCCCGCGUGUGCGACGAAGGCCUUCGGGUUGUAAAGCACUUUUGGCAGGAAAGAAAUUGCCUGGGUUAAUACCCUGGGUAGAUGACGGUACCUGCAGAAUAAGCACCGGCUAACUACGUGCCAGCAGCCGCGGUAAUACGUAGGGUGCAAGCGUUAAUCGGAAUUACUGGGCGUAAAGCGUGCGCAGGCGGUUCGGAAAGAAAGAUGUGAAAUCCCAGGGCUUAACCUUGGAACUGCAUUUUUAACUACCGGGCUAGAGUGCGUCAGAGGGGGGUGGAAUUCCGCGUGUAGCAGUGAAAUGCGUAGAUAUGCGGAGGAACACCGAUGGCGAAGGCAGCCCCCUGGGAUGACACUGACGCUCAUGCACGAAAGCGUGGGGAGCAAACAGGAUUAGAAACCCCGGUAGUCC
rnacentral:rRNA from 1 species